AUUUCAUCCACUAACACACAGCAACCAUACAAUGUAGAAUCAUCAGCAACCUGUAACCGGAAUACAAAUGACAGGUCACUUUGUUUAAGGUGCUCCUGGCCAAGAAGAAUUUCAUUCAACUCGCUCAUGGAAGGAGUUCUUUCAACAGCAUGAACCUCCAGGCCUCCAGGGAAGCAAAAUGAUACAAGAUCCUUGUACUUAAGAGGCAACUGUUUGUCCGGAGGAUAAACAAAUAAGACCUGAGGCUCAAGAAUGGGUUCUAUGCGAGACUGAUUCUGAGA
rnacentral:misc_RNA from 1 species